CCAGCAUCCUUUUAUUUCAAAUAUUUUGUGAGAUGACAGGAACACUUACAGUCAAAGGCUGAUCCUCCAGCCAAGUUAUUUUACUGAGAACAAAAGCCCAACCUUGCUGAAGCUGCAUUUGCUUUGCCAACAAAUUAUCUGAAGGAAGAAACCCUGGAUAUAAUGUAGCCUCUGGAUAAAUUUGCUGCAGGCAAAAAGCUUUAGGUUUUCACAGCUCCCUUUCCCUUCACAGCAGCUCUUAAACCCAUGGAUUUGAACAAGAGAAAUCAGCAGUGUUGCUGUAGAAAUCCAUAGUUAUUCUCUUCAAAUUGCUCCUUUCCUUGCAAUGGAGCCUGAUCCUCUCCCCCCAGGAUUCUCAAGGCUGUCUGGAUUUCCAGCUUUUCUCCCAAAACAAGGCUCUGCUCCUUGCCUUGGUGCAGCCUGGAGGCUCUGGCUGGAGCUGGGCAGUCACUGCUCCUGGGGAAGACUGGGAUUUGGGAGCACUGCUGCUGCAUGGCAACGAGCUUUGCUUUUGGAGAUUACUCAGAAAAUGUGAAUUCAUCCAGGGUUAAACCACAGGCUUUGAAAAACUCCUCAAGUUGCCAGCUCAGCAGUCCCUGCUGUCCCCUGAGCCUUGAUCCCUCUUCCUGCUGCUUCACUUCAACAAAAACUGAGCCCCUCCCUGCUCCAUCCAUGGGAGAGUCCUCGGUGUGAGAGAAAGUUGGGUCAGGGAUGGAUCUCUUGGUUAACUUUGGAACCAGCUUUUUCCCCUCAAUCCCCAGCUGCAGUGAUCACAUCUUGCUUUGCCCAUCCGCUCUCCCAAUCAGCAGGAUUGACUCCACAAGGUGUGAGACAGGCCUGAGCUGGCAGAAAUUACCCUGGCUUCAUGAGAUCUUCCUGCUUUCUUUUGGGGCUUCCUGACCAAAUCCAGCUCAGGCAGGAGGUCUUGACAGGCACCUUCAUCAUGUGUUUUCCUGACCUUGAUGUCUGAAGUCCUGGACCUCUUCCCAGUCUGCGAAACCUGUGUUACAAAACCAGAGCAAUUCGAGGUAAAUGAAUGGAUCCAGUCCCUGCCUGACUGCAGAGAGGGAAGAAUUUUCCUUGGAUUGUUUUCCACCCACAGAGAUAUUUACUGUAAUACCCAAAUGCUGUUUCCAGAACUCCUGCAGAUGAAAUGCAAUCUUCUGGAGCACCAGGAAAGGAGGCUGCCUUCCUGAGAAGGAGAUUUGUUGUCAGAUGUGCUGCUUGGGUGUGCAGGCUGCAUUCCCAGGAUGUUGGGAAUGCUCCUAGCUGGGAAUAAAGAGAAAUGUCCUAUUUCA
rnacentral:lncRNA from 1 species